GGAACCAGAAAGAAAUGAAAGAUGCAUCCUCUUGCCCAGAGAACUGAGGGCCACCCCGGGGUUUUGGGACUUGUUCACUUGCUUAUGGAACUGCUCAUCUACAGGACAAGGCCUGGAAGAACUCAGGAGUUAAUGUUGCUGCCUUGACACUGAAUUUUGUCUUCACCGGGAAGCCUCAAUUUUUGCUCCCCAGCCCUUCAACUGAUCAGAAUAGAAGCUCGCAAUGCUCAUGUUGAGAGUUACUGUGGAGAUAGGAGAUGUGAGAGGAGUGUAUGUGAACUUCAAAGAACUAAGUCAUACAUGAAGUGUUAGAAGAAGAUCAAAUAGUAUCGUUUGAUGACUCUAAGGUGUCUGAAGUUGCAGAACUAAGAAGCAGUAUUCCUGGGAGCAGAAGAACAUGGAUAUUC